rnacentral:misc_RNA from 1 species
AAGUCGUAACAAGGUUUCCGUAGGUGAACCUGCGGAAGGAUCAUCAUUUAUAUUGAAAAAGAUAACUUUUUUGGGAUUUGCUUUUUGAAAGCUUUAGACAUAAAAUAAAAGUACAAACUUUUAACCAUGGAUCUCUAGGCUCUU